CCCUAGACACUUUGGCGCAGUUGGUAGCGUGUCAGUCUUGUAAGCUGAAGGUCCUGAGUUCGAUCCCUGGAAGGGGGA